GGUGCUGUGGCUUAGUUGGUCUAAGCGCCUGACUUGUAAACAGGAGGUCCUGGGUUUUAAUCCCAGCAGCACCU
rfam:Xiphophorus maculatus strain JP 163 A Contig12906.1, whole genome shotgun sequence.